AGUUUUCUUGAUGAACAUAUUGGAGUGGUUUGCCAUUUCCUUCUCCAGUUCAUUUUUCAGAUGAGGAAUUGAGGAUGCUCCCUGAUGUGCCCUCAUUGUACCCAAAGAACAUCACAAUAAGAAGCUUUCUCUCUGGUUGUUUCCAAUGAGAUCAUAGGACUCAUCUCCAACCUUGGUGAAUAAAGACCUGAGUUUCAAUUGAUAAAUGACGGACAGAAGCAGCUACACCCGAAGAAAGAACACUGGGAAACGAAUGUGAACUAUCUGCAUUUUUG